GCGCUGCCUCCUCUCCCUCCCUCCCUCUUUGGCACACAUGUAACACGAAACUUCGCAUCUCCGGGACAACCAGCAACAAAAAAAAAGGAAGAAAGGCAGAGACAACAGCUGGCUGUCAGCAGCGGAGCAGAGAGGAGCCGAGCGAGCAGCAAGCCAGGAUGAAGGGAGAGAUGACGUGAAAGUUUAAGAAGACGGAAAGAAAAACAAGAGGAGAAGACGAGCUGGCGGUCGGGAAACAGAAAUCCCAAAGCAGAGAGGCCUUGGAAACAGCAGAAAGUGCAGACAACCUGAAAAACAUUUGCUUCCUCACGAGCAGGUUGGAGACUGCACCACCACCAUCAGACUUUGUCCCUGAUGUAAUUCAGACCAAGAGGCAAGAACAGAAAACACAAAUCACUUCACCUCUGCCUCCUCCACCAUCUCUUGGAAUGGAAACAAAAUUGAAAACCUCCUGAAACAGAAUCCCACAGCACUAAGGAUAAAGCAGCCAUUUCUGGAGUAGCUCA